GACGAACGCUGGCGGCAUGCCUAAUACAUGCAAGUCGAGCGAACGGAUGAAGUGCUUGCACUUCUGACGUUAGCGGCGAACGGGUGAGUAACACGUAAGGAAUCUACCUAUAAGCGGGGGAUAACAUUCGGAAACGGGUGCUAAUACCGCAUAAUAUCUUCUUCCGCAUGGAAGAAGAUUGAAAGACGGCUCUGCUGUCACUUAUAGAUGACCUUGCGGUGCAUUAGUUAGUUGGUGGGGUAAUGGCCUACCAAGACGAUGAUGCAUAGCCGACCGGAGAGGGUGAUCGGCCACAUUGGGACUGAGACACGGCCCAAACUCCUACGGGAGGCAGCAGUAGGGAAUCUUCCGCAAUGGGCGAAAGCCUGACGGAGCAAUGCCGCGUGAGUGAAGAAGGCCUUCGGGUCGUAAAACUCUGUUAUAAGAGAAGAACAAAUUGUAGAGUAACUGCUACAGUCUUGACGGUAUCUUAUCAGAAAGCCACGGCUAACUACGUGCCAGCCGCCGCAGUAA
rnacentral:rRNA from 1 species